rnacentral:rRNA from 1 species
UAAUUUUCCCCCAAGGAGGAAAAGGAACCAACUGGGAUUGCCUUAGUAACGGCGAGUGAAGCGGCAAAAGCUCAAAUUUGAAAUCUGGUACCUUUGGUGCCCGAGUUGUAAUUUGGAGAGUACCACUUUGGGACUGUACUUUGCCUAUGUUCCUUGGAACAGGACGUCAUGGAGGGUGAGAAUCCCGUGUGGCGAGGGUGUCAGUUCUUUGUAAAGGGUGCUCGAAGAGUCGAGUUGUUUGGGAAUGCAGCUCUAAGUGGGUGGUAAAUUCCAUCUAAAGCUAAAUACAGGCGAGAGACCGAUAGCGAACAAGUACAGUGAUGGAAAGAUGAAAAGAACUUUGAAAAGAGAGUGAAAAAGUACGUGAAAUUGUUGAAAGGGAAGGGCAUUUGAUCAGACAUGGUGUUUUGCGCCCCUUGCCUCUCGUGGGCUUGGGACUCUCGCAGCUCACUGGGCCAGCAUCGGUUUUGGCGGCCGGAAAAAACCUAGGGAAUGUGGCUCUGCGCCUCGGUGUAGAGUGUUAUAGCCCUGGGGAAUACG